rnacentral:rRNA from 1 species
UACAGAGGGUGCUAGCGUUGUUCGGAAUCAUUGGGCGUAAAGGGCGCGUAGGCGGCCACCGCAAGUCAGUUGUGAAAUCUCUGGGCUUAACCCAGAAAGGUCAACUGAUACUGCGGGGCUAGAGUGCAGAAGGGGCAACCGGAAUUCUCGGUGUAGCGGUGAAAUGCGUAGAUAUCGAGAGGAACACCUGCGGCGAAGGCGGCUCACUGGACCGGCAUUGACGCUGAGGUGCGAAAGCGUGGGGAGCAAACAGG